rnacentral:rRNA from 1 species
AUUGAACGCUGGCGGCAGGCCUAACACAUGCAAGUCGAACGAGAGGCGGGCGGGUGAGUAAUGUAUCGGCAACUGCCCGAUGGAGGGGGUCAACUACUGGACACGGUUGCUACUACCGCACACCAUCGGCUGUGCCCAGAUGGGAUUAGCGAGUAGGUGGGGUAACGGCUCACCUAGGCGACGAUCCCUACCUGGUCUGAGAGGAUGACCAGCCACACUGGAACUGAGACACGGUCCAGACUCCUACGGGAGGCAGCAGUGGGGAAUAUUGGACAAUGGGCGCAAGCCUGAGGCAGCCAUGCCGCGUGUAUGAAGAAGGCCUUCGGGUUGUAAAGUACUUUCAGCGAGGAGGCGUUACUCGCAGAAGAAGCACCGGCUAACUCCGUGCCAGCAGCCGCGGUAAUUC